UACGUAGGGGGCAAGCGUUGUCCGGAAUCAUUGGGCGUAAAGCGCGCGUAGGCGGCCCGGUGAGUCCGUUGUAAAAGUCAAAGGCUCAACCUUUGAAAGCCGAUGGAUACUGCCGGGCUAGAAUCCGGAAGAGGCGAGUGGAAUUCCUGGUGUAGCGGUGGAAUGCGCAGAUAUCAGGAGGAACACCAACAGCGAAGGCAGCUCGCUGGGACGGUAUUGACGCUGAGACGCGAAAGCGUGGGGAGCAAACAGG
rnacentral:rRNA from 1 species